rnacentral:rRNA from 1 species
AUUGAACGCUGGCGGCAGGCCUAACACAUGCAAGUCGAACGAGUGGCGGACGGGUGAGUAAUGUCUGGGAAACUGCCCGAUGGAGGGGGAUAACUACUGGAAACGGUAGCUAAUACCGCAUACCAUCGGAUUUGCCCAGAUGGGAGUGGCUUGUAGGGGAGGUAACGGCUCACCUAGGCGACGAUCCCUAGCUGGUCUGAGAGGAUGACCAGCCACACUGGAACUGAGACACGGUCCAGAAUCCUACGGGAGGCAGCAGUGGGGAAUAUUGCACAAUGGGUUCAAGUCUGAUGCAGUCAUGCCGCGUGUAUGAAGAAUGCCUUCGGGUUUUAAAGUACUUGCAGCGGGGAGGCGUUACCCGCAGAAGAAUCACCGGCUAACUCCGUGCCAGCAGCCGCGGUAAUUC